GGAAUCGGGCUGAUUCAUCGCCGGUUCGCGGAGCCAGAACCCGGCUGAGCCCGAGCUGCUGCUGCCGCCGCCGUCACGGCCGCCGCCGCCGCUGUCACCGCCACCGCCGCGUCACAAGGGUCCAGACUGCGGCCUCUUCGCCAGCCCGCCAAAGGUGAGACGGGAAAGGCCGCCCCAGGAGGUCCGCGGAGGCAUCCGCGUUAGGCCGCUGCCAGCCGGGUGCUUUCCUGAGUCACGUUGCCCAGCCGAGUUGCCACUGGGGGCCCAGGAAGUGAGGGUGGGUCCAGGUUCCUUCGUCCUCCUCGCCGGCUACUGCCGGCUGUUGGUCUUGAUUUAGAUCUCCUUCCUCCAGGCAUUUCUGCUCCGCUGAAUUCACCACAUUUUGGACCCUCUCCUUAUACAGGGUAGAACCCUUGGUUUUUGCCUCUAUUUGUAUGUGCUCUAUUGAAAGUUACCCCUGUGUUGAAAAACUUCCCGCCAGACAGAAAAUAAGAGUGAGAGGAUAAAAUUAACUUUCCCGUUGAAUGCAUGUGUACUUUAUCACUUGUCCUGAGCAUAGGCCAUGACCCCUUUUCUCUUGGUGUGAGGUUCUCAACUCCCUUCAAAAAUAACCCCAGAGGUGCACUGGUUUUUAACCUUGAAACUCUUUAAAGUGUGGUUAUUCCUGCUAUGCCUUUUAACUUACUUUCAAUUUGUCCAGUUGAGUAGUUGUUGAUUGUAAUGUAUUGAUUACAUUUACAGCUUUCAAUAAAGUAGAAAUCUGCUUCUGUGUUACCUCUUGGAACUUAAUUUUCCUGUUGACGUUACUUUGUUAGUCAAAAGAAGAAAAAUGUAGACUUAUCGAAAGAAUUUGAAUAUAAAUCUAGUGACUGAAGAGAAAAUUACAGAAAUUAAAAAAAAAAUAGUAACCAGAAGUUGGUAAAAAGAUUUAAUGGGAAAUGCUGAGAGGCUUUGAAAAUUAGCAUAGAAAUGCAGUUACUAGAGUGAAAAUUACUUUCUUCAUUGCUCAUAUAAGUAUGUUUUUAGUGCUGCUGACUUAAUAUUUAUGAGUAAACAAUAAGACAAGUCACUGAUAAUGUUGAAAUAAAAAAGAACUGAAUACAGUUUUAGUGGGGAUGAUUAACAUAAAGUGGCCCUCUUGUCAUAUAAAGCUAGCACUUGGCUCAUUUAAAGUUUAAAUUAUGUAUGUUUUAAACAUAUAAAUUGAGCAUUUGACCAGAUUAAGAAAUGUAGUGCCUCAGAAUUAACUACAAGAUGCAUUUAGUGAAGUAGUAUUUAGCGAAAAGCCUGAAUAUUGUCUUAAAUUUGUCCCGGAACAAAAUUACAUCUAGCCAACAGAGCAAAGUUUUGAAGUCAUGGUCUUUCAAUGAAGCCUCACCUGUUGAAUUUGGAAACCUCCCCUCCCCACCCCAUAAAUACUAUAUUGCUGUUCUUAUUGAAAAGCUGGAUUUUAAUCUUUCUGGCAUGGAUUUAUUUUGUUCUUGUCUGUAAACCUGUGUUUAGUUACACAAUCCAUGUUUGAAAAUCAGUGAAAAGAAGCAAUUGUGCUUUUAUGAAAUUGUUUUUAGUUUUAUAGCAGUGUUUGUUUCAUAAGUCAGUAUCCACUUGUAAAAGCCUGACCUGAAUACUGGUGAUUUAUUACUCAUGAACUUGCCCUAUACCCAAUUUGUUGCACUCAUCUGACAUUCAUAUUCUAUUUUAUGAUAUUUUGGUGUCCCAUCUGUAAAGUGAGAAUUGGAUUAAAUAAUCUUUUUUGCCUUUAAGAUAGUAACAAUAACAACAGCAGUUGGAAGUACCUGUGAAUAUUUCAGGCACUAUGUUUUAUUAGGUGCUCUUUUUUUUUCUUUUCUUACAACAAACUUGCGAAGAAGAUAUUAUCCUCAUUUUAUAAAUGAAGUCUAGAGUAUAGAAGAUAACUUAUAUAUACAGCAUAGCCAGGGUAGGUGAUGAAGCCAGAAUUCAAAUCUAAAUCUGAUUGCCUCCAGUGACUUUCUAGCUCAAUACUGCUGUCCUUUCAUUUUAUGUUUUUUCCCCAUGGAUUUAUUUCAUGCCUCCCCAGGUGGAUUGUAAAUUCUUUCAGUUAAAUUCACUAAAUUCCUUAAUGACUCUAUUUCUGUAUUACCUUAAAUACAGGGUGGUAUUUAAUAAAUGCUUGAAUGCUGUAAUUAGGAGGUAGGACAAGAGCAUAUUUAUGGUAAUUCCAUCCUCGCCAUUCUAAACAGGGAGAAAUCUUGUUUUCAAAAUCUUAUUUAUAUAAUUAAGUUUAAUGUUGACUCUGAACAUUAAACUUAGUUUUUCCACUGAAGAAAGCCCUUAAGAAAAGUGAGAGAAAUAAUGAGAUCACAAAUAUGGAGUAGUUUAAAAAGGAUUUAUUGGAGUUCCCCUUGUGGUACAGCGGAAACAAAUCCUACUAGGAACCAUGAGGUUGUGGGUUGGAUCCCUGGGACCGCUCAGUGGGUUAAGGAUCUGGCAUCGCCGUGAGCUGUGGUGUAGGUUGCAGAUGCGGCUCGGAUCUGGCGUUGCUGUCGCUCUGGCAUAGGCCGGCAGCUGUGGCUCUGAUUUCGACUCCUAGCCUGGAAACCUCCAUAUGCUAUGGGUGUGGCCCUAAAAAGACAAAAAAAAAAAAGGAUUUAUCAUCCAUCUGAGAAGUAAUAGUAUAUAACUGCAGCAUGGAUUGAGGAGUAAAAACUGAAAAGUGAAUUAGGAAACAGAGAAUAAACCUAAACAGCUAAGGGCUUCCAGAUUUUGUUAACUCAGUUGGGGGAUGAAAAAAUGGAAAAUUGUCAACCGUUUCAAACAGUUAUUUUAUGGACUUUUUUUUUUUUUUUUUUUUGGCUUUUUUGCCAUUUCUUGGGCCACACCUGCACCAUAUAGAGGUUCCCAGGCUAGGGGUCUAAUCAGAGCUGUAGCCACCGGCCUACACCAGAGCCACAGCAACGCCAGAUCCGAGCCGUGUCUGCGAACUACACCACAGCUCACGGCAAUGCCAGAUCGUUAACCCACUGAGCAAGGGCAGGGAUCGAACCCACAACCUCAUGGUUCCUAGUCAGAUUCGUUAACCACUGUGCCAUGACAGAAACUCCUGGACUUUUUUUUUUUUUUUUUUUCCCCUGGCCAUGCCUAUGGCAUGUUGAAAGUGCCCAGGCCAGAGAUGGAACCCACACCACAGUUGUGACUUGCACCACAGCUGUUGGCAACACCAGUCCUUAACCCACGGAGCCAUAAAAGAAUAUCCCUGAUACUUAAUUUUAUGCUAUUUUUACCAAUUAGGAUUCUAAACAUUAUGUAUGACUAUUAGGCAGAGUUAAGCACUUUAUUCAUGUUAUCUGAUAAUGUGUUUUAGUUAAUCAUACCGUCAAUGAGCUUUUGAGUCCUCUGCUUUUUGGUAGAUGUAAAAACUUGGUUUCAAUCUAUAGACCUUUUGCUAUCCUUGUAUUUCUAAGAAAUGGAAGUAUUUUAUGUUCUACUAUAACACCUUAAAUUUAUGAAUGCCUUUGCUAAAUGCAAGUCCUUUCUCCUCAGUGUAAUUCAUUUAGUGCCAUGAAAUAUGCCCAGUGUUUUGAAGUUCACUAGAUGGCAAAUUAUAUGGAAAGAAGAAUCUGUGUUAGGUGAAUUGUAGCUAUGCUCAUAGGAUGCUGGUGCUGAUGACAGCAGCUAACAUGCCUUGUGUACUUACAAUAUACUAAACAUUAUAUUGCAUGUUUAUGUUCAUUGUCUUCUUUAAUUUUCUAAAGAACUCUGAGGUGGAUGCUACCAGUUCCCAUUUUGCAGAUGAAGAAACUGAGGUUAAGAGAGCUAACUGACCUGAGGACACAGAGCUGAAAAGUGUUAGAACUGGAAUUCUAAUCCUGGCACUUAGAUUGUAGACUUAUAGCUUUUAAUCUCAUAUACCAAGAAGAAUGAUCCUCACCAUCUACCAUCAGGUCCAAUGAACCUUUAAAAAUUUUUUACACCUUUAAGUCAUUUUAUGAAUAAUUUACAGAAGUAAAAAUAA
rnacentral:lncRNA from 1 species